ensembl:lincRNA
CGCCCUCCUCAACAGCCACCUGCGUCCUUCUCAAAGAAUUUCUCUGACGGCUCCCUCUGUGCUCUGAGGCUUCCAUCCUCUGCUCACAGUGAAAGAUGCUCUCCUAUGUCCUUGCUGCCUUCAUCUCCAGUUAAUAAUCACCAAAGCAGUACCCUGGCACAGGGGAGAUGGGCAGCUCCUGUGGUGCUGCAGCCUGCAAGUCACCCACUGUUUUUAAUAAUCACCAAAGCAGUACCCUGGCACAGGGGAGAUGGGCAGCUCCUGUGGUGCUGCAGCCUGCAAGUCACCCACUGUUUAGCUUUCCUCAAGAGAUGCUGAGCCCUGGCUUUUUCCCAUGGAGCUGUUCCCUUCUCAGUUUCUGGGGGAAUCCUUCUCCCCAAAGUGCAACUGAUGAUCCUGGGAUGGUAGUUGUCUGAUCCUCCACUAGGGAACACUUGGUCCCUGACUGAGGAUGGUCUUACAAUUAUGGAGUACAUAAAAAGGUAAAAAUCAUUAGUUUUAAUUGUUAUCUUUUUGGUGCUCAUUAUCAUUCCAAUGUGUGAAUGACUUCUUGCCUUUUCUCUAAGACCCAGGUGCAAGUCUAUAAGUUUGAGGAUGGAGAUGGAAACGAUGUGCAGGCCUCUGAGUCUCACACUGCAUGUCUGUUCAUUGUCUUCGGAGUGAUAAGAGUGCAAGAAACCAUAGAAUGAGCUGGUGCAUCGCUUUGGUCGUGUACACGAGGGAAAGGCUUGUACAGAGAGGUCCCUGACUUACAUGCAAAUUAAAAUGAAUCCAGGCACUUUGUGGACUGAAACAGAGAAUUUUCAUGGUUUUCCCUUCCAUCAAAAGUCAGCAAUUUUAAAAGAAAUUUCUCCCAUGCAGAGGGCUGCUUUGAGCCAGUUUGUUUGAAUAUUAGAGUAGAACAUGUGCUAACUUUAAUAUUGGCAAUCGAGGGGAAAAUUGGGAGACCAGAUCCUUGCUUAAUAAUCUUACGCACAACUAAAGCAGCAAGCAAAACUAUCUGGUUUAGGACGGUGUUUUGGCUUUGUACACCUUCAUGUUUCAAUUUAAUCUUGUGUACUUCUUUACCAAUUAAAACAUUCAGAGAAGACAGUUUAGUGGCCAAGGGAAGAGCGUCAGCCCCACCAGAAGCCCUUUCUUCCUGCUGCAUCACUAAGCAGUUGUGACUCAAGGGAAAAAUUCAGUGUCUCAGUCUUUCAUCAAUAGAGAAAUGUAUUAAAAAAAAGACAGGAGUUCUGAGUACUGACACUGCUUACCUCUCAGAAUUGUUAGGUCAAACUGCACAGAAGAUGUGGAGUAUGACGUCUGUGGUGAGGAGAUGGAGCCCAAAGCCUAGAAUUCAGCAGUUGAAGGCUUUUUGGUGGCUGAAGCCAGAGAUGAAUUUUCCUUGAAGAAGUCUCAUUUCUUUUUUUUUUUUUUUAAUUUUUUAUUUAAAGAAAAGGAAACGAAAGAAUACAUGGAGAUUUUAAAAAAGGGUAGAAAUGAUACAAACUUACAGAAAAACAAACGGUAAGAAAUUGCUGGUUGAUAAGUUACACAUUGUCAUCUUGGAAGUAGCUGUUCAUGUUAUGGAAUUAAAGCAUUUAGAAUGACAUUCAUAAAGUGAC